AGUAAUAUAGUUUAGAAAAUAUUGAGAUGCAAGCUCAAAGUUAUAAAAU
rnacentral:tRNA from 1 species